rnacentral:lncRNA from 1 species
UCUCUAGAACCUUCAUUCCAUACCCCGACUCGUACUCGCUAUAUUCUCGCCUCCUGAGAAGAAAAAUGGAACAAAAAGGAAAAGGGUGAGCUCAACUAGCCCAGUAAAGAAUAUUAUGACUAAGAUAAUAUACAACAAAUUAUCGUUAGUCUUCAACAGGGAAAAAUCUAAUAGAAUACAAUAGACAACAAGUUUUAAAUCAAUAUUCGCAGCGGAAAUAAUAAUUCAUUAGAAGAGUUAAGUAGAGAAUGCAAACUACUAUCUUCUAUGUAUGAAUUUAAAAGUUCAUCGUCUAUCUUUUAUCCCUGUAACAUCAAUCAAUAUAUAUCUGGAAUCAAAUAUUCAUCUUUGCACUACAGGCCAAAGAUAUUCAUCAGUUGGUCAUGUUCAUCUAAACACCUGUUCAUCUUUGCACUACGGGCCAAAGAUAUUCAUCAGAAAUCAUUCAUCUUUGCACUACAGGCCAAAGAUAUUCAAUAAUAUCAUCAUUUAAGACUGAGGAUGAUGAAAAAAAUUUUUUUUUUAAAGAAACGAAUCCAGUGAAACAAAAUGACAAGGAUUAAGGAUUAAGGAUUCGUACUUUGUUUUAUCCACGUCCAAAAAUACCUCAAAAAUAAUCAUAGUGGUGUAAAAUUCAAGAAUGAUCAAAACAUGGAUACAAUCAAAGCUAGUAUCCACAAUAGAUAUUUUGGACGAAAAGAAAAAUUUUCAUUUUUCGAUGAAUAGUGCCGUAUUCGUGAAUAGUACCGUAUACGUGAAUAGUGCCGUAUACGUGAAUAGUAACUCCGACACCAAAAGUUCCAAAUUUGAUAAAAACUUCAGAUCAAUAUUUCAGCAUAAUGAUAUUGAAGAAAUAAUAUCAUUACGAAAAAAAAUAAUAUCCCUUACCUCGGAAAGACAGUACUUCUAACUGGAAUACUGGAUAUAGGCUAUAACUUGAACUUUCACCGUAUAGCAAUACUCAAAGUAUACUCAAAAUACUCACAAGAAUACGCUCGAUAAUAUAGAGAGAGAAAACUUCAGUUUCUGGUGUGAUUUUCAAUUCUAACCUAAGCACCUAUUUAUAGGAAAUUGCUUAGAACACCAAAGCAGAAAAUUUAAUAUAAUAUUAAUAUAUAUAAAAAUAUUAUACGUAUUCCUUGAAAUCUUAAUCUCAGCAAUUCACACAUGCCAACCUUCUAGAAAAAAAUAAAAAAAACGUUUUUCUAAUUUAAAAUAUUUUAAACUUCCAAAAAUCAAUUAUUUCGGAGCUUCGGAACUUCAAUAAUUCAUAAUAAAUAGCCCUUUUAUCAGAAAAUUCGAAUCUCGCGAGUUUUUAUAGGAAAUUCAAUUCUCUACAACUUUGCAGAAGAAAGUUUUUCCAAAUUCCAAACAGAAAUUGACCGAAAUCCACAAACGGGCGAUUUUAGAGGCUAUAAUCAAAUUUCAGUCAAUAAAUGGGGUCCACCGACAUGUUUAACAUGUUUUAAACAUUUAUUGCAACAAAAAUACUCUUCCUCCUCGUAUACUCAUAUAUCCCACAUUCGUUGUAAAAAUAUCACCAUUAUUAUAUUAUUAAAAUAUAAUAAUAUAUAUAUUUAAAUGAAUUAUUUUAUCAGAAAAAGAUAAAAUUUCAAUUUUCAACAAUUGUCACAUUAAAAAUUUUCUCCAUCUAUAUCCACAUAAAAUCAAUAUUUUCCUCAUCAUAUGAAUCAAUAAUUAAUUAUUCACAAAUAAUAUUACAGAAUCACAAUAUUGACAACCAGGCAGUUCCCAGGAAAGAGGGGGCUUUCCAAUAAGAAUUUCUCCUUACUGGCGCGCAAUUAGGUGACCAAACCUCUCCUUAGACAGAACUUUCUAGACAUUGCCAAUAAUGUUAUCUAAUAAUAUUAUUCAGAUAAUAUGAAUUAUUGCUUCGAUAAUGAAAAAUACUGUGUAAUGACAAUUAUUGAAACAACAGCAAUAUAAAAUAUCAACGCAGCAAUUAUUGAAUCAAUAAAAUAAAAUACUGAACAGUAAUUACUGUAACCAUUAUUGAGUAGUGCCUUCUUACGUAAGAGUCAAUAAUUGGUGCAAUACCGUGUGCUACUGUGCAACAACGCGUAUUACUGUGUUUUAACCACCGGGUAUUCCAACAGUGUAAACGGUAACAACUACGCCGUUAUUUUUAAACAACUUAUAUUUGUCGUUUUCUUCCUCCAAUCGCUUUCCGUUAUGGGGCCCACACAUGGCUGCGCCGUCGUACGAAUAUUCCCCGACAGUACGAAUAUUCCACGACUGUACGAAUAUUCCCCGACAACAAUGAAUAUUUUAUAACCACUUGCUUAUUUUGAAAUAUUUGCGUAUUUUACUCAUAACUAUUCACAUUAAUCAAAUCAACCCUUACUAUUUCAAAAUAAUAAAUAGAGAAAAUUAAAUUUUAUUAAUAACAAGUUGAGGUCUUACACAGAAACAAUUUGCAAUGAUUAUAUUUUUGAUAUUAUAAUAUCUGAUUAAAUAUGGUAUUAAAUAAUCCCUCAUAUUAAAUCAUUUUAUAAUUCUUAAACUAAUUAAUAAUUCCAAAUUUAAAUUGAAAACUAACAAGGGACAAGAAUUUCUCCCCGAAUAAUCACAAAAAUUCAUUAAUUUCUUAAAUUACUUUUUGCAUAUAUCAAUCAGAACUAUCAAAUACCAACGUACUAACAAGUAUGACAACAAAAAUUCAUUAAUUUCUUAAAUUACUUUUUGCAUAUAUCAAUCAGAACUAUCAAAUACCAACGUACUAACAAGUAUGACAAGAUUAAUUUACCAAGGGACAAGAUAGUUCCUUUUUGUUCUUCUUUUUUGCGUACAUAUUCAGAACAAAAUAACGGAACCGGUUAUCAACAUGGUAAGUUAGUCAAUUAAUCAAUACAAUAUUAACACGCAUAGAAGAGCUAGAGAGAUCAUCUUCCGGCCUGAACACUGAUCAAUUGAUCAAAGUUAACUGAAAGAAAUAUUAAGAAACACUUACAACAUCUAGCCACCGGGUGGCGAAAACGGCUCCUCCGAUGAACAUGAAUAUACAAAAUAUGGUGGCAGUACUCGUUAAACCUCCUUUCCUCAUAAUCUGCCACCAACUCUUAGUACUCUUAUCUGAUGCACCACCGUCAUAUUCUUCCAUCGCCAAACCUACCUCACCGGUCGGAGUUUUUUUUGGCUGGAGGAGAUCAAGUCCUAAUUCAAUUCAAGUAUAUUAACUUGUUGCCAUAUUAGUCAAUGGAGAUUAGUCAAAAAAAGAAAAAAAGAAAUUUCCAAGGACCAGAAGGAAAGAUAAAGGAUAAGUAUUAAUUUUGUGACUUACCAAAUCAAAUCAAAUAAAAUUGUACAUGCAUGCAUAUGGUGCUCUACAGAUUUAGAGGCUAAAACAUAUAUGAAGUUUGUUUCAUGCAUGUUUGGAUUGUAUGAAGAAAGAGAGGAGGCUAGUUUUUUGAGAUUUUCCAGAAUAUAUCGAAAUAAUUAAACGAUUAUAUAUGCAAUUCUAGUUUAAUUUGUUAAAAAAAAUAAUUAGGCAUGUUGUGCACGGUAAGAUAAAAUAAAAUAAAUUAUAAAGUCAAGCACAUGAUCAGAAGAAUCACGAAAUAUAUUCAGUUGAAUCAGUUCUUGACAUAGACGUGCUGGCGAGUAGCAAUAUUUGAAUCAAAAAUUAAGACGCUUAAUUUCAUAGGAAGAUUAUAUAAUUGAAGUUCAGAAU